rfam:Phaethon lepturus contig80845, whole genome shotgun sequence.
ACAAAGGCUCUUUUCAGAGCCGCCCACUUAACCUGGGAAAGAGCUG